GUGCCAGCCGCUGCGGUAAUACGUAGGGCGCAAGCGUUGUCCGGAAUUAUUGGGCGUAAAGAGCUCGUAGGUGGUGUGUCGCGUCUGCCGUGAAAACCCGAGGCUUAACCUCGUGGCUUGCGGUGGAUACGGGCAGACUAGAGGUAGGUAGGGGAGAAUGGAAUUCCCGGUGUAGCGGUGAAAUGCGCAGAUAUCGGGAGGAACACCGGUGGCGAAGGCGGUUCUCUGGGCCUUACCUGACGCUGAGGAGCGAAAGCGUGGGAGCGAACAGGAUUAGAUACCCUGGUAGUCCACGCCGUAAACGUUGGGCGCGUAGGU
rnacentral:rRNA from 1 species